GCGCACACAACUGCAGCAGCUGCAGGGCCUGCAGACGGAGCUUCUUGAUCUUCGACAGGAGAAGAAACAGCUCCAGCAGCUGUGCGAGGAGCAGGAACAGGCUCUACAGGACAUGGGCCUUCAUCUCAGCCAAUCCAAACUCAAGAUGGAGGACUUCAAAGAGGUCAACAAAGCCUUGAAGGGUCAUGCCUGGCUAAAAGACGAUGAAGCUACACAGUGCAAGCAGUGCCAAAA